rnacentral:rRNA from 1 species
AACGAACGCUGGCGGCAGGCUUAACACAUGCAAGUCGAGCGCCCCGCACGGGGAGCGGCAGACGGGUGAGUAUCGCGUGGGAACGUACCUUUUGGUUCGGAACAACUCCGGGAAACUGGAGCUAAUACCGGAUAAGCCCUAACGGGGAAAGAUUUAUCGCCGAAAGAUCGGCCCGCGUCUGAUUAGCUAGUUGGUGAGGUAACGACUCACCAAGGCGACGAUCAGUAGCUGGUCUGAGAGGAUGAUCAGCCACACUGGGACUGAGACACGGCCCAGACUCCUACGGGAGGCAGCAGUGGGGAAUAUUGGACAAUGGGCGCAAGCCUGAUCCAGCCAUGCCGCGUGAGUGAUGAAGGCCUUAGGGUUGUAAAGCUCUUUUGUCCGGGAAGAUAAUGACUGUACCGGAAGAAUAAGCCCCGGCUAACUUCGUG